rnacentral:rRNA from 1 species
AUUGAACGCUGGCGGCAGGCCUAACACAUGCAAGUCGAGCGAGCGGCGGACGGGUGAGUAAUGUAUGGGGACUGCCCGAUAGAGGGGGAUAACUACUUGAAACGGUGGCUAAUCACGCAUUCUAUCGGAUAACCGAUAUGGGAUGAGCUAGUAGGUUGGGUAAAGGCGCACCUAGGCGACGAUCUCUCGCUGGUCUGAGAGGAUGAUCAGCCAUACUGGGACUGAGACACGGCCCAGACUCCUACGGAGGCAGCAGGGGGGAAUAGUGCACAAUGGGCGUAAGCCUGAUGCAGCCAUGCCGCGUGUAUGAAUAAGGCCUUAGGGUUGUAAAGUACUUUCAGCGGGGAGGCGUUACCCGCAGAAGAAGCACCGGCUAACUCCGUGCCAGCAGCCGCGGUAAUAC